UCCACCAUUGAAAGUGUAAACCUCUGGGGGAUUAAGACCUCCAAUCAAGAAAAAAAGACGAAAAACGAACGUGAAGUUUUUCAACCGGCUUACAUUAUCCUCCAGCACAGAGUCGUGCGUAUCUGGCUCAUGGUUUCCGGUGGGUGGAAACAACGCCACGUUUUGUUUAAACUUUGCUCGUUAGUUAGAAACUCAUCCAAAUUGCUGUCGAGAUCGUAGCAGGAACCCACACGGCCAGUUACGUUGCGCAACGUUUGACACCAGAAAUUGGCAUUGGAUGAUAGCUCCCCAAGAAUUCUCUUCAAAUUACUGACUUGAGAUAUCAUUUGGCCCUCGUAUUCACGGCAAAUCUGUUUGUCUACGUAAUAGCCUCAAAGUUCGCAAAAGUAAGAAAAUGUGAAACGUUAUCUGAUCGAAUACCAUACUUUGACGGUAUAUCAUCGAAGAGUCAUUAAAACCAUAUGAGGUCUUGGGAGCCAAUAAGCCGAGGCUUAGCAGCAACGAGACAUUCCAUCUUUCGUGAUUUGAUGAAUGCUGCUGCAUGGCUGGAUCGUGCAUCAUUUUCCAUUCGCAUGGUUUAUGUUUAUUGUCACCUCAUCUAGAAUCAACUUUCUGCUGGACUGUUCUGCUUCUUUUCUCGCCAUAAGAAAUAGAGCGAAAAUACUGGAAAACAUCAGCCCGAUAAACAGCGUGUAACGUCUUCCCCUCAUUUUCCAGUCCAAAAGCGUUCCAGUCCUUAUUUACGGAUGAGACGACAAUAGAAGAGAAAUAUCAGUAGUUGAACUGAAACAGCUCUUAUGCACUAUCUUCAAGUGGGUUUGUAAGAAUAUGCUUUUUUAAAAUUUUUUUCUCUGUCUUGUUUCAGGGUAAAACUAAACGUUAGAAAAAUCAGUGAACUCAUAGACAUAAUUAGAAAUGAUGUGUUAGGAAGCACGGCGGACGCUGCUAUUUCAAAAGAAUUAAUGUAUUCUCCAUCACGGAGCCUUCCAUUGCAUAAGUGGCCCGGUGUACGUACGUACGCGGAAUGUGGAGACUCACGGAUCUGUUUUCCAGCCGCAUAGCAAACACGUCAGCUUGAUAUGAACAAAAGUAUAAAUAUUUGGAGCAAACCACUUGACUUUUUGUCUGACAUUAUUCGUCAGCAAAAGAAGGCGAAUAGCAAGAUUAAUUUCUUUCGCCAUUUUAACUUUUACAAAUUGCAGUUAUCUUCUAAUGCACUUAACAUCCAUAAUUAUCUAACUGUUGGUUAAAUUAGUCUCAAGCCAAAAACUCAUCCAUUGGAAGAAUUACGGGGUUGAAACAAAAAUAGUAAAAGAACUGAAUUUCCGAGGCAAAAUAUAAAAUAAAUCAUAA